UACGUAGGCAGCGAGCGUUGUUCGGAAUUACUGGGCGUAAAGCGUGCGCAGGCGGUUUGCUAAGACAGGUGUGAAAUCCCCGGGCUUAACCUGGGAACUGCGCUUGUAACUGGCAAGCUAGAGUGUGGCAGAGGGGGGUGGAAUUCCACGUGUAGCAGUGAAAUGCGUAGAGAUGUGGAGGAACACCGAUGGCGAAGGCAGCCCCCUGGGCUAACACUGACGCUCAUGCACGAAAGCGUGGGGAGCAAACAGG
rnacentral:rRNA from 1 species